GAUGAACGCUGGCGGCGUGCCUAAUACAUGCAAGUCGAGCGAACAGACGAGGAGCUUGCUCCUCUGACGUUAGCGGCGGACGGGUGAGUAACACGUGGAUAACCUACCUAUAAGACUGGGAUAACUUCGGGAAACCGGAGCUAAUACCGGAUAAUAUAUUGAACCGCAUGGUUCAAUAGUGAAAGACGGUUUUGCUGUCACUUGUAGAUGGAUCCGCGCCGCAUUAGCUAGUUGGUAAGGUAACGGCUUACCAAGGCAACGAUGCGUAGCCGACCUGAGAGGGGGGUCGGCCACACUGGAACUGAGACAAGGUCCAGACUCCUACGGGAGGCAGCAGUAGGGAAUCUUACGGAAUGGGCGAAAGCCGGACGGAGCAACGCCGCGUGAGUGAUGAAGGUCUUCGGAUCGUAAAACUCUGUUAUUAGGGAAGAACAAAUGUGUAAGUAACUAUGCACGUCUUGACGGUACCUGAUCAGAAAGCCACGGCUAACUACGUG
rnacentral:rRNA from 1 species